AAGUUUAUUGAAUUGAAACAUCGAAGACAUAAGAAAGAUUACACCUAAAAUGCCAAAGAAGUCCACUUUGAAAUCUGCACAGAAAGCUCCUCUUUCUUCUUCUCCUUGCUGCGGCAGUGAGGGUUUAGGGGCUGUUUGGAUGUGAUUUCGGUUUAGGGAUGGAUUUGGGAUGAUAUGGUGGUUCGGCAAAGGGUAAGGGAGGUGUAUGGUGGUGCGGCAAAGGGCAAGGGAGGUGUAUGGUGGUGCGGCAAAGUGGGGUAGAUUGCUGGAAUGGAUGAGUGGCGGCUGGAAUGGAUGGAUUUUGGGUGAUGGUGGCUGCGGCAAAAGGUGGGGAAAAGGAGAGAUGAUUUUCUGAUUUUUUGGAGAGGGGAAGAUAUAUGCGGCUAGGGUGUAAGGGUGGUAUAUAUAGGCACUUAGAAACCCUAAUGAAAUCAGAUUUUUAACAAUGGGCUAGGGUUAGGUGCGGCACUUAAGUGGACUAGGGUUUAGGGUUUGUAAAAUAGGGCUUCUAGGUGGAAAGGUGCGGCUUGGGUUUAGGAGAAAUGGACUAGGGUUUAACAUGGCAGAUUUUAGAUGAUUAGGCCUUAGGGUUCGGCAUGGGUUGAAGGUCCAUAAGGAAAUUUGGGUUUAGGUCAUCUAAAAGCCCAACGCCAAGAAUAGAAACUCUCGAAAA
rnacentral:lncRNA from 1 species